rnacentral:lncRNA from 1 species
GAGGUGACAGCGCGGACGACACUGCCUGUUGUCCUUGGAGAGGAGUGGACAGCAGGGCUGACACUGCAUGGGGUCCCAGGAGAGGAGGGGACAGCGCGUUCAACACAGCCUGGUAUGCCUGGAGAAGAGGGGACAGCACAGCUUACACUACCCAGUGUCCCAUGACAGGAGGGAAUAACAGAGCAUAUGACACUGCCAUGUCUCCAAACAGGAGGGAACAGCGUGUCUGACACUGCACAUGGUCCCAGGAGAGGCAGAGACCGCACAGUUAACACUGACCAGGGUCCCGGUAGAGGAUGGGACAGCACGGCCAACCCUACCUGGUGUCCUGGAAGAGGAGGGGACAGGGCGACCAACAAUGCCUGGCAUCCCAGGAGAGGAGGGGAGAGUGCAGCUACACUGCCUGGUAUCCCUUGAGAAGAGGGGACAGCGCAGUUUACACUACCCAGUGUCCUGUGACAGAAGCCCGAGGAAAGUCUUGAAGGAAGGGAUCACGAUGACAGGAAGUGGCAGGUGCCUCGCAGGUCACCAUGGUUUGUCACAUCUGCUUCACCGUAGCUGACUGGAAAGCAGGAGUGAGAGAAUGAAGAGGGGCAUCUUCUCAGUGUGGGCUGCUGGAGCACCUGGGCCUCACCUCACUGCUCACCUAGCACCUGCAGUGUGAAUGCCCCACCUGUGUUGGACCCUAGAGCAGGUGGGUACUGUGGCAGCUGUGUUGAGGGAUGGUAUGUGUGUGGGACAGACAGAGACAGAAAGAGACAGAGGACAGAGAGGGAGGUUUCAUGGCCAAUGGAAGGCACUCCUUUCUUUUUCUCUCUGGAAAUCUAAAAAAGGGAUGUUUUAGGAAUUUGGUGUAUCUAAAAAUAGAGAGCUUCUCAACUGAUUAAUGGCCCUUCCCUUCUGCACUUAGAUAGCUUUCUCACUGAUUCCUCAUCUCCUCAGAGUGGGGGCACCUGGUCUAGUCCAGUGACUUUCCUAUGAGAAGCCAAUGGUAAAACUGCCAAGGGAAAAAGAUAAUAUCUGAUAUACAGCAAACAUUCGAUAUAUUUUAUUAUUUUUAAUUAUUAUCAUAAUUAACCAACUCAAUACUUUUUUUCACUCAAUAGUGAAACCACAAGAAUGUUUUAUAUUAAAAUAUCUUUUUUAAAAAAACCUUUAAUAAUAGGUCCUAAUAUAGAAGAAAAAUAAACAAGUAAUCCCUGUGUGACUAACUGGGGUGACUUGGUUGCUUCUUUUCAUCAUGUAACAUGGAGGCUUAUGUGUGACCUGGUGGUUUACAGGUGUCAAGUUCAUUGGAUUCAAGCUUGAAACACUCUGAUCAGAAAAUGCAACCAUUAUAUUACCUGCUUUAUAGGCAGACCACAUGAAUCCCCAUCUCUUUCUUAGCUCCGACCUCACAUACUCAUUGAAUAGCUCAUUUUCUGUGUCUCAGACAUGAAGCUGGAUGCUGAACCACAAGACAUACAUUGUUCAUCCUUCCUCAUGGAGUUUCUAAGUCAAGAUGUACAACAAAGGAAAGGCAGAAAAGCAGGAAAAUAAAAAAAAAAAAUGUGUGUAGCUUCAUAAUGACUCUUUUGGAAAGAAUCUGUAGGGCUGCUUGUGCUUACCUUCAUUAUUUGCUUUCCUGUUGUUUUCCAAAAAGCAACAAAAAAGAUUGACUUCUCUAAAAGUGAAGAAAUGAAGAGCAUUCUGUUAGGGCCAGAGAAGCCUGACCAAAGCUCAAUGUCUGUACCCAGGAUGCCUGACACUCUCUGGCCAGUCAUUAAAUCACUGGCCAGGUCAUGUUUGUGUACUGCAAUCAAGAAAAAGAAUUCCAAAAGCUAUUAAAUUUAUCAUUUUUUAUUUCCCUUUAAAUUUUCUGGAACUUCAUGUCUUAUUACAGCAAUAGAGUUAGUGUUUUCUUAAGAACUUUAUACCAGAAAAGAGGACAGGGAGCCUACGGAUCCCAAGAGAGAGAAGCCAACCCUGAUGGUUCCUACAUGCCAGUCUGACGGCUCCUUUAGACUUCACCACUACUGGCCUCCCUACUGCAUGUGCUGCUAGUAUACACUGACUUUGGAUGCCUUCUCCUUUUGGGUCUGGGACACACCUCUCUUCUCCUCUCUAGCAACUCUUCUGCCCCCACCGUGGGCCCCUCUUGCUUUCUCUGACUGAUUGUCUUCUUCUGCCCUCCUGCCAGGCCUGGUUGACCCCUCAGCCUUCCUCUCUCCUCUAUAUACUUCCUCAUGGCCACAUGGUGUGGUGACUUGGCAAG